UUCUAAAAUUUAUAAUAGAAUUUUAUUUUUUAGUCAAAAAGCUAAAAUAUAUUUAAAAGACGAGAAGACCCUAUAAAUCUUUAUAUUUAGGUUAUUAUAAUUUUAUAGAUUUUUUUUGUUAUAAUAAUUGAUAAUAUUUUAUUGGGGUGAUAUUAAAAUUUGAUAAACUUUUAAUUGUUUAAAUCAUUAAUUUAUGAAUAAUUGAUCCGUUAUUAGCGAUUAAAAAAAUAAGUUACCUUAGGGAUAACAG
rnacentral:rRNA from 1 species